AACAAAGGUCAUAGCUCAGUGCUAGAGCAUCUACUAUACAUGCAGAAGGCCCUGGAAUCAAUCCUCAGCUUUGUCA